GGUGUAAUGUGAACGAAAGAACCAAUUAGGGAAUCAUUACACAAAAAGGCUAUUGAUGUCGGUGGAUCAAAUAAUUUAUCGAUUCUUAACAGGAACCGGUUUUCGAUACCUAUCCCUAACACACAGAGAUGGC